rnacentral:misc_RNA from 1 species
GCUCCGUAGGUGAACCUGCGGAGGGAUCAUUACAGAGUUCAUGCCCUACCGGGUAGAUCUCCCACCCUAUGUUAUUAUUACUUUGUUGCUUUGGCGGGCCGUUAGGCUCCGGCCCGACUACCGGCCCCGGCUGGUAAGCGCCCGCCAGAGGACCCAAAACCCUGAAUAUUAGUGUCGUCUGAGUACUAUAUAAUAGUUAAAACUUUCAACAACGGAUCUCUUGGCUCUG